AGAGUUUGAUCAUGGCUCAGGAUGAACGCUAGCGACAGGCUUAACACAUGCAAGUCGAGGGGCAGCACGGUGUAGCAAUACACUGGUGGCGACCGGCGCACGGGUGAGUAACACGUGUGCAACCAACCCCGUACCGGGAGAUAACCCGCGGAAACGUGGACUAACAUCCCAUAAUACUGGAGGAUCGCAUGAUCUUUCAUUUUAAAAAUUCCGGUGGUACGGGACGGGCACGCGCGACAUUAGGUAGUUGGCGGGGUAACGG
rnacentral:rRNA from 1 species